rnacentral:rRNA from 1 species
CAGUCGCCGCGGUAAUACAGAGGGUGCGAGCGUUAAUCGGAUUUACUGGGCGUAAAGCGCACGUAGGCGGACUUUUAAGUCAGGGGUGAAAUCCCGGGGCUCAACCCCGGAACUGCCUUUGAUACUGGAAGUCUUGAGUAUGGUAGAGGUGAGUGGAAUUCCGAGUGUAGAGGUGAAAUUCGUAGAUAUUCGGAGGAACACCAGUGGCGAAGGCGGCUCACUGGACCAUUACUGACGCUGAGGUGCGAAAGCGUGGGGAGCAAACAGGAUUAGAUACCCCCGUAGUCCCUGUCUCUUAUAC